rnacentral:rRNA from 1 species
UACGAAGGGGGCUAGCGUUGCUCGGAAUCACUGGGCGUAAAGCGCACGUAGGCGGUUUCUUAAGUCAGGGGUGAAAUCCUGGAGCUCAACUCCAGAACUGCCUUUGAUACUGGGAGACUCGAGUCCGGAAGAGGUGAGUGGAAUUCCUGGUGUAGCGGUGAAAUGCGCAGAUAUCGUGAGGAAGACCAGUGGCGAAGGCGGAUCUCUGGACAGUUCCUGACGCUGAGGCGCGAAGGCCAGGGGAGCAAACGGG